CAUUCAUUGUCCUAUGUGUAAGAAACCUUUCCCCUCCCCUCUUUUGUAUACAGUGACUUUAUUUAUGUCCUUACAAUGUAUGGGUAAAUGCCAAAAUCAUUCAUGGUAUUGCUCUACAUCCAUUCAGAUAUCAGAGUGCAUCCAAUAGCAAUGGAAAAGGGAGUUGCUAAAAUUAUUCAUGGUUUUCUAACAAGUUGUUGGUAAAAAUUAUUUGUUUCACUCAAAUUAUUUACCUCUACUAUAUACUGUAUAUAAUGCCAAUAGCUUUGCACAUUUUUUCCUUUGCAAUUAGUCUUCAUAGCUUGGUUAAGAGAUGGUAAAUUCAUCAUAAAAGUGUUGCUCCUUGACAAGGAAUCAUUGAGGUUUUACUACUGCUUCCUUCACUUUUCUAAAUGCGAGUAGCCUGCCCGACUUCUCCUCGCCUUCCCUACAUGUGGAGUGGACGAAGAGGAGACAGUGAUGCUCUGUGCAGUCCACUAUGAUGUAUAUGGAAAAUCUACUUUGUCCAUCAGGUGAGAACUAUUAUUUGAACUGUAUAAAAGAAAAUCCCAAUUACAAACUCACAUGGUCCACACCAAUGGGAACAAUGUAAAGUUGUUCCCAAAACCUCUGAAUUUACAUGGUGUGGCCCACCUGAGUUUUUAUCAGGCUGACUUUUCUAUCUUCUCUUCAUCCUGGUGAGUUAGACCUGAUUAACAAGUUGAAUGAAAGAUACCCCACAUGGUGGCCAACACAAAAACCUGUGUUCUUCAUCCCAUUCCCACUAUUCCAUGUGGUGUGCCCCAUCUGGGUUGUGGAUCUGGUUGAUUUUUUACAUGAUGGACAAUGUUACAUUUAAAUAGUUGUAAAUGACUCUCUCUCUCUCUCUCUCUCUCUCUCUCUCUCUCUCUCUCUCCAUUCCCUUGCUCCACUUGCAUCACACGUGCCAUAACCCUGAUUUUACAUGAUUCCUCCUUUUUUGUGCAAGACUUAUAUUAACGACUACUGUGUUAAUAGGGAAUUUGGGCUGACAUGCUUUGUGGGACACUGAUGCAAACCUUAAUCUUACUUGGGAUCAUUUGGAAAACCAAUUGGAAGAAAGAGUUACAAUGCAAGCCCAAAAAGAAGCUCUGCCUAGAUAUGCAAUGCAAAGACAAGUUCCUCUUUCGGAGUGUCAUUGCAGGUUCCCUUGUGUUUUCUCUAGGGGUGGAACACAUAAUGGAGGAUUAUUUAUUUAUUUUUAGUGUAUUCGGGCAAUUGUAAACUUAUUGUUGUAAAUAUAUAUAAUUUUUAUUAUAAAGUUCUA